AAAAUCAAAUUUCAAACAUUCAUGAGGAUAUCUUUCUGAAUUUAAUUCAACAUAUAUUCCUUCUAAUCCACAAUUAUCAAACUUUCCAGCAUUCAAAUAAUUAUUAUCUCUAGCACAUUGAAAUGCUACAACAAUAUAUUUUAUUUUAUCAUAUUUAGUACCCAACUUCCAUG
ensembl:ncRNA Y40C7B.10 ncRNA